rnacentral:tRNA from 1 species
GGGGGUAUAGCUCAGUUGGUAGAGCGGCGGUCUCCAAAACCGUAGGUCGAGGGUUCAAGUCCUUCUGCCCCCGCCA